UAUAAAUAUAUCAGAUGACUCAAGUUGAUACAGAUUGCAAUAUCAGUCUAAGAGUAUUUGAAGAAACAGUUCAAUGAGAAAAUAGAGAACAUACUGAUACUAUUCUCUUGAGUACCUCGGUCACCUGAAGCAAAACUGGUAAAACAACAAAUUUACACCAUAUCUACUAAUAUACCUCAUUCGAUGUUCACCAUAUCUGCUAAAACUACACACAACAUGAUAAAAAGUUUAAAGGAGGAUACCAAUGUAUCUUGUAAAGCUACAACAAAUUCAAGUUGGUUAUAACUCAAAUUCUAUGCAACAGUAACAGGUUGAGUUGGUACGUCUCUCUCACUUUUGCACCUAUUACAAUUUGAUCGAGAAGCGUAAUUAUGAUUACUGCAAUUAGUGCACAUCCAGUCCCCAUCACGCCAUUGCUUUGCCCCUUUACCAAGGAGUGUAGGUGCUGCUGGUACACGAGGAAUCUGCAUGUUGGCUUGCAAAGGAAGCACCAUUGAAUUUUCAUUAAGGAAGAUCGUUGGGAUUGCAGUUAGUUGAUUUCCCCCUGAAUCCCCCAUCCAUUCUGCUCCUGGAUAGCCUUGUUGAUACCCAAAUGUAUGUCCUGCAUUCAGCCUCUUGUUGUCCCAAUCAUGAACAAGUUCCUCAGAUGCUAAUCGCUUUGUUCCAAGAGCUGUAAUAGGGGUAGUGGCAAGAGAAGACGAUGAAGCUGGAGGUGCAGAAGCAUUGCAUUUUUUGCACUGAGCUCGAGAAGAGUAGUUGUGAAAGCCACAACUGCAGAGCCAGUCACCAUUACGCCAUCCAUUUGGAACUGGAAGCAGCUGAUUCGUUUGGCUUGCAUAUGGAACUCCAGGAGUUUGCAGCAGUCUAUACCGAUCAGCAGGCUGGCUUUGGUAUUGACCAGCCUCCCCUAGAGACCAGUUAGAGCUCAAGGGAAGUUGUUGGAGAGCUCCAUGUCCUAAGAACCCAAUUUUCAACCUUUGUUCCAUACCUCCUUGUGUCCUGGCAAAAUAAUUUGGAUGAGAUGGGAGAGAUGCUCCAGGGAUUGCAAUUGCUGGCAUUGCUGCUACCUCCUUUGGUUGUCCACAUUUUUUGCACUUCUCUCUUGAUGCAUAAUUGUUGUUAGUGC
rnacentral:misc_RNA from 1 species